GUCUGCCCUGCCACGGUCGUGGGGGGAUCCAGGCUGCCCCUGUGUGUCUCCUCCAGUCUUCGUCAGCUGCCUGCUGCUGUCUGCACCUGUGUUUGGCUACCUGGGUGACCGACAUAGCCGCAAGGCCACCAUGAGCUUCGGGAUCUUGCUGUGGUCAGGAGCUGGCCUCUCUAGCUCCUUCAUCUCCCCCCGGUAUUCUUGGCUCUUCUUCCUGUCCCGGGGCAUCGUGGGCACUGGCUCGGCCAGCUACUCCACCAUCGCGCCCACCGUCCUGGGCGACCUCUUCGUGAGGGACCAGCGCACCCGCGUGCUGGCCGUCUUCUACAUCUUUAUCCCCGUUGGAAGUGGUCUGGGCUACGUGCUGGGGUCGGCUGUGACGAUGCUGACUGGGAACUGGCGCUGGGCCCUCCGAAUCAUGCCCUGCCUGGAGGCCAUGGCCUUGAUCCUGCUUAUCCUGCUGGUU
rnacentral:sRNA from 1 species